rnacentral:sRNA from 1 species
AUCUGGCUGCAGUAUCUAUCUUUAAACUUUGACCACGGAUGUACUGGCACUGAUGUGAAGAUGGAUGACGAAAGGCCGGUUAGUUCCGGCCUUUUUGUUU